rnacentral:ncRNA from 1 species
GAGAGCCGUGUGAGGUGAAAGUCUCAUGCACGGUUCGGACUGGGAGUAGUGGUAGGUGACUACCACUUCGACCCCUAAU